rnacentral:lncRNA from 1 species
UUCCGUGGGUGCCAGGUUGUGGGCUGGGGGCGGUGCUGACCUUGAGAGAGCGGAGGAGGCGCAGGCGCAGCACAGUUUAAACUUGAUUUUGUGAGGGGACGAACAGCGUGACAAUUAAAAGAAGAUCUGGGAAUCAAAAGCUUCCUGAGGCCUUCACCAGAAGCAGAUGCUGGUGCCGUGCUUCUACAGCCUGCAGAACUGUGAGCCAAAUAAAGUUCUUUCCUUUAUAAAUUACCCAGCGUCAGGUAUUGUUUUAUAGCAAUGCAGAACAGACUAACACAGACACACACACCAACCAAGUACAGUAUGAGAAGGGAUUAUUGGGUGCCAUUUUGGAGGUUGUCUACCACAGGAUUUUAUCUGUAUCAUUAUUCAAAUUUCGUUUUUGAAAAAUUUUGUAAGGGCACAUUUAUAGAAAUAUGAAUGCUUAAUAUUUGAUGAUAUUAGGGAAUUAAACCAUUUUUGUGUGAUAGUAAUUUUUAAAGAUUCCUUAUCUUUUAGAAAUACAUAUUGAAAUAUUUAGAGAUGUAGUGAUAUAAUGUCUGGGGUAUGCUUCAAGAUAAGAGUUGCAGAAAGUGGGUGGUAGUAUAAAUCAAGAUUGGUUAUGAGUUGAGAAUUUUUGAGUAAUAGGUAUAUGGGGACUAAGUAUUCUAUUCUUCAUACUUUUACAUGCCGUAAAUCCCCACUUAUCUGCAGGGAAUGUGUUCCAAGACCCCCAGUGGAUGCCUGAAACUGAGAAUAGUACUGGACCCUGUAUAUACUGUGUUUUUUCUUUCCUUAUUGAGAACUUUUAUGUUUUCACUUAAAGGAAGGACUUUACAGCUUCUCUUUCGCAUAUCCAAAUUGCCAGCAUCACCGCUCUUGCACUCCAAGCCAUUAUUAAGUAAAGUAAAGAACACAAACACUGUGAUACUGCUACACUUGAUCUGAUAACCAAGAAGUCUACUAAGUGACUAACAGGUGGGUAGCAUAUACAGCAUAGAUACACUGGACAAAGGGAGGACUCACAUCCUGGGCAAGAUGGAGCAGAAUGGCAGAGUUCAUCAUGCUGCUCAAAAUGAUGUGCAAUUUAAAACUAAUGAAUUAUUUCUGGAAUUUUUCAGUUAAUAUUUUUGGACAUGAGGUGACUGCAGUUAACUAAAACCAUGGAAAGCAAACCCAUAGAUAAAGGGAUACUAUGGUAUGUUUUCAUUUUCUAUAAUAAAAAGUUAAAAAGGAAAAAGACACCAUAGGAAAAUAAAAGACAAGUCACAAACUGGGAAAAGAUCUUUGCAACACAUGUGACUAUCGAAAGGAUUAGUAUUCACACUGUGUAAAGAACCACUACAAUUCAAUGAAAAUGAAGAUAAUGCUUUCCACCCCAAACAGGCAAUUCAUACAGGAGAAAACCUGAAAAGAUACCCAACCACAAGGAAAUACCAUUUCACACCCACCAGAUGAACAAAAAUGUAAAAGUCUGGCAAUAUUACAAUUCUUAUACAUUGCUGGUUGGAGUAUGAAUUGAUAUAAUCAAUUUGGGAAACAAUAUGGUAUUAUCUAGUAGCUGAAGAUGCACAUCUUCUGUGACCCAGGAAAAAUGUAUAGCAGGAGACAUGAGCAAGAAAAUUCAUAAUGGCAUUUAUAACAGUAAAACGUGGAAGAAAAUCCACUGUCCAUCAACAGUAGAGUGAUUAAAUACAUUGUAUAUGCUCAUACAGCAGAAUAUAGUGGUGGAAAAAAUAAAUUACAAGUUCAUGGACAUAGAUAAAUCUCUAACAAAAUGUUGAGCAAAUAAAAAUUCACAAAAGAAUUUUACAGUAGGAUUCCAUUUAUAUAAAGAACCAAUGAAAGUAAAUAGCCUAAGGGUACAAACAUAAGUAAAUCUAUAAAUUAAAGCAAAAGAAUGAUAAGCACAAAUUCAAGGCAGUGAUUUCCUCUAGCUACAGAGGGAAGGGAAUGAAGUAAGGAAAAGGUGAACAAGGAGCUUAAAAGUAUGAUAAUUAUAUGUGUUGGUUUGGCCAAACAGUCCUGGUUUACCUAGCACAGUUCUGGUUUGCUGAUUGCCUGGUGUAAUGAUUAAUAGCACUGUCACUCCCCAAAUUGUCAUUGUUUGGAUAAUGAAUUAUAUGCAUCCUUUUUAGAGUAAAAGUAACUUUUUUCUCCUUAAACUGGAUGGAGGGCAUGUGGGUCUUUAUCAUUCUUCCUUAUACAUGUAUUUUUAAAAUAUAAUUUAAAACUAGUCAGUAUUUUAAAAUAUAAUUUAAAACUUUAGUCAGUGUUAGUCACUGUGUUAGUGACAACACAGUAAAAAAAAAAAAUUUGUAAGAUAAAUAAAUAUAAAUAGGAUCCAAAUGAAACUCUUUUCAUCUGGGUGGAUACAGGGAUAAAUAACAUACUAUAUGCCUGGCAUUGUAUUAAGCUUGUUACUGAUAUUACUUCAUAUUCAUAGCAAGACAUUUAGGUAGGCAUUAUUAUCUCCAUUUUACACAUGAAGAAUCUAAGACACAAAGACUAUACAUAAUUUAACCAAAGUCAUAUUAUAUGUGACAGCGCAGAAUUUGAACCCAAGCAGUGUGACAUCAGACUACAUGCUCUUAACUACCAUGCCAGAGCCCAUAACAGAUUUUCUUAACCUUUUUUAUGCCACAGAUCCCUUUGACAGUCUGGUGAAGCCUAUAGAGUCCUUUUUAGAGUAAUGUCUUUUGUACAUCAAAUAUAAUGCACAGGAUUAUAAAUAAAAUCAAUUAUACUAAAAUAUGGUAAUCAAAAUAUUUAACAAAUGUAUACUAUACCUGUACUUUUUAUUAAUGCAUUAAAUAAAUAAUAAAAUCUAGCAGGUCUAAUGAAUAAUUUUGAAAUAAUAAUAAUAAUUGUAUCUUGAGAUAUCUACAAAUAUAGUAAUGUGAUAGGAAAAUGUUUGUGAUUUUGAUAAGUGAAAAAGUCACCAAAAUACUUGUAAUAACACUGUGGUUUUUUGCAUAUGUUCACAAUGGAAAGAAAUCCUAAAUCUUACUUCGAAGUUAGCAAGAAUUACAAUAUUUUUCCCACCCCAAUUCAUGGCCCUCUACUUUAUGGUCUUAUUUCAUAGGCUUUCUGACAUGUUUUGCUUCAAAGAGGUCCUAUUCCCCAUCCCAUUUCCUAUCUUCUGGUUUGGGAUUACACUCAAGAUGUGAUAUACAGAUAGAUUAGUUUAUUAGAAAGAAAAUAUUUUUCCACAUGGCGAACUUUAGUGGAGGCUAACAAAUCAGAAUGUGCUAAAAUAGCCAUGUGUACAUAUAGACAAUGGGAAGCUUGGAACUGCUUUAGCAUUUUAUACAAAAGACUUAAAAGUAAUUUCAGCUGGGCACUGUGGCUCGGGCCUGUAAUCCCAGCACUUUGGGAGGCUAAAGUGAGAGGAUUGCUUGAGGCCAGGAGUUCAAGACCAGCCUGGGCAACAUAGUGAGACCCUCCCCCCAUCUGU